UACGUAGGGGGCAAGCGUUGUCCGGAUUUAUUGGGCGUAAAGAGCGUGUAGGCGGCCAUGCAGGUCCGUUGUGAAAACUCGAGGCUCAACCUCGAGACGCCGGUGGAAACCGUGUGGCUAGAGUCCGGAAGAGGAGAGUGGAAUUCCUGGUGUAGCGGUGAAAUGCGCAGAUAUCAGGAAGAACACCCGUGGCGAAGGCGGCUCUCUGGGACGUGACUGACGCUGAGACGCGAAAAGCGUGGGGGAGCAAAACAGGG
rnacentral:rRNA from 1 species